CUAUCAUUUUGACAAGUUUCCUUUUCUACAGGCAGCCUAGAUAAUAUUUACAGUUCCUACAGAAGUUUUUAAAAAACCAGCUGAGAAACAUGUUUCUUGCUGACAUGCUCUUCUGCUCGGUGAAGUUUGACAGAUACAGCCCCAAGCUCUAGCACAGGAUUCCUUCCCAGAUACAGCCAAAGUGUGCAAUGCACUUAUUUUAACAACAAUGUGCGUUUCUAUUUCCUUUCAGCAAAUAAACCCUUUGCAUUACAUUUAUCUGCCCUGGCUGUGUCCGUUACCAUCCAGGAAGGUUUAUCAAGGAACAAACAGGACGCACACACAGCGCCUGGUCCUGCAGCACCCAUCCCCACAAACUCUCCUCAGUGAGCUCAAGACAUCGAUACCAUCAUCCCUGCGGAUAGCGACCCUUCAGCCCUUCAUCAGCCUGAAUUCCAGAGCCCUUCCUCCUGCCCAGCCCCUGCGCCUUCGGAGAAAAUCCAGGCACUGCCACCCUCCCAGCCCUCCACACGGACUCGGAGCACCGCACCAGGCUCCGCAGUGGUUUCAGGGACUUUUUCUCCUCUCCCUGCUGCGGCUCCGGCUCCCUUCGAAAGCAAGCGGCUCCGCGUGUGCCUUUGCAAUCUGAGAAUGCGAGCCAGUCGGCAGGACAGCAGGCUUGAUGGAUGGGGAGUGUAAUAAUGCAACUCCAAGAGGAGCUGAUGCUCUGACAGGAUCUCAUGUGGAUUCAUCCAGAGAAGGAAGAGUACAGCUGCUGCAGGACUGCUGGAAAUGAGGCUUCAAGUGUGUGACAUCCUCUCACUUAGCCAAAACCUCUGCCUCAGUGUACUAAAGGCUGCAGCUGGUCCAGGAGUGCCCUUUGGACACUUGCCAGCCUGGCUGCAGCUGCUGCAUCCCCACAGAGCUGUGGCAGCUUUGUGAUUUGCUUGGUGUCCACCUGGCUGC